GCCGGGUCUGCGCUCUGGGACGCCAUGAGGGAAUAGUCCCUCUGUCCCCACGCCACGAGGGGAUCGUCUCGUCAUCCCCACGCCAUGAAGUGAUCAUUCCUCCAUCCUCAAGCCAUGAGAGAAUCAUCUCGUCAGCCCCGGGCCAUGAGAGGAUCGUCCCUCUAUCCCCUUGCUAUAAGGGAAUUAUCCCCAUGCCACGAGGGGAUAUCAUCCAUGAGGGCCUUGUCCCGACAUACCCACAGCCUGGUCCUCCUGCCCUCUGUGUCCCUGGCACCCUCAGACCCUUCAUUAUGACCAGAGCCAUCAAAAGAAUGGGGUAAAUCCCUUAAAAGUCCUCUCAACACUCUACACAGAAAAAAUAUGGGACUCUGAGGGCAAGUCAGAAUGCCCACCUCAGGUGGCGCUUGCCCAUGCCAGCCAUUCCCUCACCAUUCCUCAAACCAGGCCUGUGGGACAGAGCUGCAACUGACAAAGGACUCAGAAUCAGCUCUUGGCACGAAGCAAAGCACAAAUCUGAACUUAGAUGUGUCUGGGACAGAACAACACUUUUCUUUGUUUCGGCAAAACUUCACAUUGCCAAAAGACUUCAAUGCAGAACAAAGUUUUAUGAACCUAAAGACCAAGGUCGAUUGAAAAUCAGGAAUCAUUCAUGGAAAAUUAGCAAAUGUGACACACGCAGAGUGAAAUCUGCAUUAAGAACUGCCUCCAACUGGCAAGGCCCUAACCUGUGGGACAGUUUUAUUGGAUCUCCCAGGAUUACAGCAUAAUUUUCUUUGACAACUCGUUCACGAUCCAAACCGAGCAGAAACCCUUUCUGGGGGCAGCUCUGAGGCUGCCUGCUGUGUCAGGAUCUGUGAAAAAGAUCAAACCAGAACAAGCAGAAGGGAUUUUUCUGCUUUGUAGUGCAUGAGGAGGAACCAGGUGUGAGAUGGUGAGAGCACCAUGGCUCUGCUUCAGGCUCUGUAGCUCUUGUGUCCAGACACACAUGGGACCCCUCUCAACACCAGCUGGAGCUGAUGCCAGGCAGGAGGAGCAGAUGCUAACCCAGGACCAGGCCCGUGUGUUUCCAGACUCCGCCAUGCCUCAGGUACAUCCAAGGCACGGCGUCAAGGCUGAGCUCUUCCCACACCUCCGCCAUCUCUCCAGCACUCCUCGCUUUGUUUGACUGUUUAACCAAAAUCUUGGCCAGAAUAGAUCAUCAGAGCUGGCUCAGGGCCAAUGAAAAGCCUGGGAGAGUUCAUUCACAAUGUGGAAAAAG
rnacentral:lncRNA from 1 species